CAUUCCCCUAAAUGUUUUAAUUUAUUUUUGUUUUUGUUCUAGCAUUUAAUUUUAGUUUUUCUUUUAUUUUAUUUUUUUGUUUUUUUUUGCUUAAAUGGAUAUACAAACUAAAUUGUGUGAAAUAAAAAAGUUGCUUGAACUGCAAACGCUACAAAAAGAUGAAUCGAAAGAAAACUUAUUAGACUUUUUAAGAAGUUUUUAUUUAAUAUACAUGUCCCAUAAAACAGAAGAUACUAAAAACAUUUCAAAAGUGUGAAAAAAAAAAAAAAAAAAAAAAGUGACAAAUCGCGCAAAACUUAAUUUUCAUAAGCCAUAAACGUUGUUAUAAGAAAUAUAUGCUUGGCUUGUAUGUGCAGUGAUAAUGUGUGCUUUAUAUAUAUAUAUAUAUAUAUAUAUAUAUAUAUAAUACUUUUGCACUGUCAUUAUUUUUUUUUUUUAGAAUGCAAAAGAACAAAAAAAAUUAAUUUUACGCUUAUUACUUGUUCAUGUAGAUAGUGAGAAUCACACGCAUAAUGGGGAAAAAAUAUUAAUGAUUAAUUUAAUAAACUUAAUUGAAAAGAACAUAAGUCAACUUUUUUCUUAUUACCCCAACAUAUGGAAAGGCUAUAACUCUUUUUUCUUUUUUUAUAUAUUACCAUUGCAAUAUGAAUAUGACAAUUUAAAUAAUAUUUUUUUUACUAAUUUACAAAAUUCGAACAAUGCAUACAAAAAUAUCCACAUAUCUUUAUUAUUACUCAACUCAAAUGAUUUCAGUAUAAAAAUAAAAACAUUAAAAUAUAUUUUUUAUAAGUAUGUUGUGCGUAGUGCAAAUGUCGAACGGACAAAAGACGAACAAAAUGACACAACCAGUGUACACAUAGAUGAUAACAAUGUUGUGUUAAACUUUGCUACUUGCGAGAAAACGGAGUUUGUUAGUUUUUUAGUAGGACAAAUAGAUUCAUUAAAUGUAGAAGAACAAAUGAGUUGUUUCUGUUUUUCACUGAUACCUAACUUAAUUAAGCGCGACUAUAUUAUGAUGCUCAACGAAAGGCAAAAAAAGAAUAACGAAAACGAUUUAAUGUUUAUAAAAAAACAACUAGAGAAGCAAAAACUGAAUACAACAAAAAAGAAAUAUAUGAAUAAUUUAAUUUAUUAUUCAUUAAGUAAAAAUAUUUUCUAUUAUUAUUUUAAAGAACUCGAAAAUAAUUAUAUUACACAUAAUAAUUUAAAAAAAG
rnacentral:lncRNA from 1 species